AGGAGAGAGUGAGUUGAAUCAGGUUGAUCUGAAGACAUCCACAUCAACUUUGACACUAGAGGUCGAAGGAGAGAGUGAGUUGAAUCAGGUUGAUCUGAAGACAUCCACAUCAACUCUGACACUGUAGGUCGAAGGAGAGAGUGUGAUGCAGGAGAGUGAUGAUCUAGAGACAGCUGGGCCAUCUCAAUCCCAGGAGACUGAACGAGUGGCAAAGGCUGCAGUGGUGACCUUCACUACCGUGACCCGCAAGGCUGCAGCCUCCCAGACCAGCCUCACCCUCAGCAGGGGAAAGAGAAGCUACCCAGACCUACACACCUUUGUGCAGGACAUGAAGGAUGGGCCAUUGGAAUCUGCUGAGUGAGAAUAUGCGUGCCAGGGUGAGUUAUAGUCACUUCUAAAGUAGUUCAUGUUGGUAAGAUGGACCAAACAUUCCAAACUCCUAUGGGUGGAAAUCGUGCAGGACCUUUAAUUCAGAGGUUCCAUAACUUUUUCACUCAGGCCCCCUUUCCAGCAUUGUGGAACAUCCUGAACCACUGCUUCAAUUGACUAGCUUGAAUAAACACAUGGUGCAGCAGUGCAGCUCCGUUAACAAACUAACUCUGUAUGGUCUUUUAACAUUUCAGAUGAGCAGAGAUGAGUUUAGUGCAAGGUGCAUGGAUAUUACAAAUUGGGUGAUGGAGUCUACAUCCACUGUGGUCGUUCCUGCCUCACCAUGCACCAUGCAGAUCAGGCACUCUGAUUCGUCAAGCUCUUCUGGAUCAGGAAGUCAGAUUCAGCUUUUGUGGCGGACCCAGUAGACGCACCAGUUCUGGAACUACUUGCAGCACACCUAUCCCCUCCUCUCACAGGUCCAUGACCUCUUUGCUGAGUGAUGACGAAGAGCGAUAUGUCUCCUCACCUGAGGGUGGUGAUAGAGAGAUGAGACACAGACCCCACUCUGCACCACUGAGUUCUGUGUUUGGAAUCUCUGAGGAUUCUGUCUUCAACAUGGUCCAGAGAGGCCAGUCGCAGAGUGACAUCGUACUGUCGUCCAGUUGGAGUAGACGGGAGAAAUACAGACCUGUCAAAAUACCAACGGACACCAGGUUUAUGAUGGGUAUUGUAGAGUUGGUAAUGAACCUUCUCAACUCUAGAUUGGCUGAGCUAAUGCAAAGUUUCAGUCAGGGAACUCUAGGUCCGCUGUCUGGUAGUAUCUCAGCAAGUCAGCAGUUUGCCCAAGAAAUGCUAAGCAUGGUGUCUGCUAAGAUGUAUUCCCAUGCCAUAGAGCAUAUUGCGCAUGGCCACAAGUCUCAUCCAAGUCAAUUUCUGUCCCACAACAGAAUGACAGAAGUGUCAUCCGAUGUUGUGGAUCUUGUACUUGAGGUUGUUGGGAUAACAGGAUUUUUGGAUAGCAGGAGCCCGUCAAGGCCACAGAGUGCCUGCUCCUACAACUCAGCUAGUGGAGCAAUAGAUAUGAGAGCUCUUGCUGGGGACUU